rnacentral:rRNA from 1 species
UACGUAGGGGGCUAGCGUUAUCCGGAAUUAUUGGGCGUAAAGAGCUCGUAGGCGGUCUGUCGCGUCUGCUGUGAAAACUCGGGGCUUAACCCCGGGCCUGCAGUGGGUACGGGCAGACUGGAGUGCGGUAGGGGAGAAUGGAAUUCCUGGUGUAGCGGUGAAAUGCGCAGAUAUCAGGAGGAACACCAGCGGCGAAGGCGGCGCUCUGGGCCGGAACUGACGCUGAGGCGCGAAAGCGUGGGGAGCAAACAGG